rnacentral:rRNA from 1 species
CCUACGGGGGGCUGCAGUGGGGAAUAUUGGACAAUGGGGGGAACCCUGAUCCAGCCAUGCCGCGUGUGUGAAGAAGGCCCUCGGGUUGUAAAGCACUUUCAGUGAGGAAGAACGCCUGGUGGUUAAUACCCAUCAGGAAAGACAUCACUCACAGAAGAAGCACCGGCUAACUCCGUGCCAGCAGCCGCGGUAAUACGGAGGGUGCGAGCGUUAAUCGGAAUUACUGGGCGUAAAGCGCGCGUAGGUGGCUUGAUAAGCCGGUUGUGAAAGCCCCGGGCUCAACCUGGGAACGGCAUCCGGAACUUUCAAGCUAGAGUGCAGGAGAGGAAGGUAGAAUUCCCGGUGUAGCGGUGAAAUGCGUAGAGAUCGGGAGGAAUACCAGUGGCGAAGGCGGCCUUCUGGACUGACACUGACACUGAGGUGCGAAAGCGUGGGUAGCAAACAGGAUUAGAUACCCGAGUAGUC